GCCUAACACAUGCAAGUCGAGCGGUAGCACAGGGAGCUUGCUCCUGGGUGACGAGCGGCGGACGGGUGAGUAAUGUCUGGGAAACUGCCUGAUGGAGGGGGAUAACUACUGGAAACGGUAGCUAAUACCGCAUAACGUCUUCGGACCAAAGAGGGGGACCUUCGGGCCUCUUGCCAUCAGAUGUGCCCAGAUGGGAUUAGCUAGUAGGUGAGGUAAUGGCUCACCUAGGCGACGAUCCCUAGCUGGUCUGAGAGGAUGACCAGCCACACUGGAACUGAGACACGGUCCAGACUCCUACGGGAGGCAGCAGUGGGGAAUAUUGCACAAUGGGCGCAAGCCUGAUGCAGCCAUGCCGCGUGUAUGAAGAAGGCCUUCGGGUUGUAAAGUACUUUCAGCGAGGAGGAAGGCAUUGUGGUUAAUAACCGCAGUGAUUGACGUUA
rnacentral:rRNA from 1 species